UAGCUAGUUUUUUUGUUUAUUAAAUUUUGUAUGUUCGGGACAGUCACAAAGUACUACUUGUUCUAUAAGGGGGUGAUGUGAAUCAACUUUUCAAUUAUAUAUUCUGUGGUAAUUGUGAAUUCAAUUUCAUUUGUCUCCUGCAAAUUAUGAAGAAAGUGCAGAGUUACAAUAUGGAAAAGUUCACUGGCAAAUACUUUGUAAAAGCUUCGGAGUGAAACAUGGAACGCACUAGCAACUAAGGACAAAUUGGUGGCCAGCUAAUGCAUUCAUUUUAUGUACAUUCAUCUUUUUAAUUAUUGAAGAUAAGUGGUUCGUCGCUUUUGUUGUAGAUAAAAUUCAGACGAUCUCCAUUGUGAAAUGAUAAUAUUUAAAAUAUCUCUUAAAUUAUAAUAAACUUUAAUUUAUCUUAAUUUUAUUUAAAAGAUAAAAGAAAAAUGUGGUAUAUCGAUAAUUUUUUUAUCUUCUUAAUAAAACGAAGUAAAUUAAAAUUUAUAAUAAUUUAAAAUAUUUUAAAGAUUAUUAUUUCAUAAGAGAGUAAUAUGAAAUUAAUCCUUUUUACUUUUUGAAUGUGAAAGAUCAAGAAAAGAGAAAGUAAGUGUCCUUGCUUUUUAUUUUAAUUGAAAUCGGAGUCAUGUCCUUGCUUUUUAUUUUAAUUGAAAUCGGAGUCAUCCCAUAUACUUUACUCCUUUAGCUCUCUCCUCAAGGUGAGAUGCGUGUGUUGGGUGAAGAUUUGGUGAGUGUUGUGAUAUGCGUGCUACUUUGAGAAUUUAUAGAUAGCACAAAACGCAGCGUUCUGUGUUAAUUGUGGUUCUUACUGUGGUAAGAAUCUCAUUUUCUUAUUUCAACAGGUUUACCAGAAGAAAAAUCCCUUAGAUCACAUCACUGCCUUUUCUCUCAUUUUCUCUCUCUAUAUUUUCUAAUACAUUCUACAUAUUUUUCAUGUCCUCACAUACUUGUAUUUCAAAUGCAAUAGAUGUGUUUAUAUAGAGGCUAAUGAGAGUGAUUAAAGUUAACUAAAAAACUUCUAUGUAAAAUAAACUUCUAUGUGUUUAAAACCAAUAAAAUAGUAAGUAUAGCAGCCCUUUUUACAGUAAUGAAGUGAAAAUUAAUUUAGCAAGAUAUUUUCUUAAUUUAUACUUUCUUUUUGAAGUUUUUAUUUUCUAUGGUCAAUUAUACCCUUUACAAUUUCUUUUGAUCUAACUACAACUAAAUUUUUGGUUUAAGGAUUCUUAUUUGGGAGUAUUAAUAUGUGAGCGAAAGCUUGGAUACUGCUCCAGGAUAUCUAAUCAAUAGCUGGAAACAAUCGAGAAGGCGGUCACAGCUGUGCACAAACAGCUUUGGUAAAAUUUUUAAACAAAGUUGACAUGCUAUUCUGAGAUUUGGUUCAUUACUUUGUAUGAUUUUUUCUCAAGCAUGUUAUGCCGAAAUGAACAAUUAAAAAAAAGAAGGAAAAGUUAGGGUAAAAUUUUUACUAAAUCAUUUUUUAUUAACUAUUUAUAUUAAACAAAUGGAACAAGAAUUGUAGUCAUUCGUCAUAAGCAUGCUAAUAUGAUAAUUCUCUGACUACCAUUUUCUAUUUACCCCUUUUGCAGCAGGGAAUCCAAAUUUUGAAUUGUCCAAUGAUCCACAAUCAAUCCAAUGGUCCAAAACUUUUGGUCGUUAUGCGAAAAUUUUUCCCAAUUUUGGGCCAAUAUUCUAACAAGUUUUAUUGAAGGGCUGGACUAUUGGCACCACUCUAAAAUUUCCUUAAAACCCCUUUUCUAUUACAAUUACAUUUAAAGAUAAAAAUAAUUACCAAUUCAUCUAUUUUAAUAUUUUAUCCCCCUUCAAACUUUUCUAUUUUCUUCUCAUCAAAAUUUUUCCCUCAAAUUCUCUGUAUUUUUUGUUUUAUUCAUUUAUUAACAUAUUCUUUUUAUAACAAAUCCAAUUUUUCAAGCAAAAUUAUAGUACAAUAUUGAUUGUUGUUUGCUUUAUUAGAAGGGACUUUUUAGCUGAGGAAAUAAAAACUGUAUAUUUGGUUUCUUCUAACUGCUCGUUGACGAUAGUCACGGCAUCCUGCACAUUUCUAAUGACUUCCUUUAGUAUGUUCUGCUUCUACCUCAUUAGUUCCAAAUAGCUUCUGUUAUCCCAUGCGUACUUCUUAAAAAUAACUUCUGCUAUUUUUUUAAUUAAUUAUUUGAAUCUUGGAGUUUUCUUUUUUAUCUUUUCCACAAUUUUUCAUUCGGAUUUAUUCAUAAUCGUACUAAAAUUUUUUACAUUAUAAUUCUAAAGAUAUUGAAUCUAAUUCACUAAUUUGUAUUAAGAAGUUUAUCGCAUAAAUUUUGUGCGGAGAUUGAUAUAAUAAGACUCUAAAAUAAUUUUAGAACCAAGAAAAUAUUAAGAAAUCGAAAGAUUGACAAAUUAGAAAUAAGGGUAAUUCUGACAUUAAAUGAAAUAUUAGGGACAAAGGAGUUUUUAGAGGAUUUUAAUGGGGUGCCAAUAGUUCAACUCUUUAUUGAAAUAAAAGGGAGAAGAUCGUUAAAUUGAAAAGUCCAUUUUAUUAUCAAGUGUUUUAAAUUAGUGCAACGUGACAAUUUUUACAGAUGAUAUCUUCUAUGUUUUUCAUAUAAAAUUAAUGUUAUUUUACUUACAAAUAUAAACUCCUAAAUAUUUGUAGUAGAUUUGAAGUUGAGCCCAUGAAACGGUAAUGAGGAAUUAAUGAGACUGAGGAUCUGCAAUUUAGUCAUGAAAAAUUUGUAAUUAAGCACGACUAAAUUUCAAUUUUCUCUUUGUAAUUUCUUUGGGUGCCUGAAAUUUUUUCUCCCCUAAUUUUCUGAUUACAAGUGUAUAAUUGUAAGUGCAGCCAAUUUUAUUUUCAGGGAAUACUAUUGGACUGUGUGGCUAUAUAUAUAUACACACACACGAAAAAUGUUUCAAUUCGGAAUUUUAAAGUGCAGGAACGCCCGAGAAAACGCAUAAACCGUGCAGUUUAAACGCUUUAAGUUUUAAGCCUUUAAAACCCCGCAGUUUUAAAGUUUUUCUAGAUGUUUCCCGCACUUUAUGAUCUGCUUGGUGAAAAGUUUUUUAAUCUGAGCUUAGAAUCUAGGAUUAAAAUUAUGGAAAAAUUUAAGUAUUACACACACACACACACUAUUCGGUCUUUUUUUUUUUAAUAUGAGUUUAGAUGUAGAAUUAAAGUUCGAAAUGAAUUUACUGUGUUAUAAAUCAAUUUUUACAAUGUUGUAAACUGAUUUAUGAUAUUAUAAAUCCAUCUUAAAUUUUAAUCUCAGAUUCUGAGUUUGGAUCUAAUAAACACUCUCUCCGAUUAUGUUGUCUAUAAUUUUGCAUUCAAAGAAACUUCACGAAAAAUAUAAUAUCAUGUGUAGCCCUAGAAACUUUAAUAACAAUAAAAAAGAUAUCAUAAGAAAAGAAACUCAUAAUUGUUCAGAUAUUUAUAAAUUGGUGGCCGUUGGAAAUUUAACUGUCAGUGCCAAUCCGAGAAAAGUCGUCGUGCACAAAAGACUUUUAGCCAUACGUUCUUCCAAGUCAAAUGAGACAGGGGAUGUACAAAGAAUAAGACAUGUCAUUCAUUGUUUGUUUGCUGCAUUCCCUCUCAUUUUCUUAAUUAUUGAAGACAGGUUGCUCAUAGCAUGUACUUUUCAAAUGUGGAACCACAGCUAAUGUCACUAUUUUAAUUUGGAAUUAAAUUAGGGCCCAUGUAUAAAAUUUAUUACAUUAUAUUGCAGUGUGAAGUACUAGGGGUGUUCGCGGAUCGGAUUUUACGGAUUGGACAUCGAUCCAUAUCCGAUCCAUGAUUUUGCGGAUUAUAAUUUUUCAAUCUAAUCCAAUCCACGGAUUGAUAAAAUUCAAUCCAAAUCCAAUCCAUACAUCUGCGGAUCGGAUGCGGAUUUGACUCAAUCCAUAUGCAAUCCACCAUUUUCCGCAUUAGUUUUCGAAUUAAAAAUUUUUAGUUCUCUCCAACUAAUGAAAUAAAAAAAUCUAAUAUAAAAUAAUUUUGCUACCAAUUAAAUUUAAAAUUGAAUAAAAUUUAAAUAAAUUAAUUGUUUAAAUAAAGCUAAAAUAAUACAUUUAAAGUUUUAAAAUAUAACACAUCGAGACUAAUUAUUCAAAUAAAGCUACAAUAAUACGUUCAAAGUUUCAAAAUAUAACACACCAAGCUUAAUUGUUCAAAUAAAGUUACAAUAAUACGUUAAUAUAACACCGAAAUUAAUUGUUCAAAUAAAGCCACAAUUAAUUGAAAUGGCGAAGUUUCGGAAACCAAACACAGUCUGAUCCUUCACCAGGGCUGUUGCGCCUGUCAAAAAGUGGUGAUUACGGAGCCAUCCACGAUGAGAACUAGGAGAAGUCGUACGGGUGGCGAUCUUGAAGGUUGUGAUAGUGAAAUUGUUCAGUUGGGACCAGUGAAUGUGAAGUGACUCGAUGGACUUGGGAAAGAAGAUGGCUUGCUCUUGUCGGAAUCGCGCAGCCGAUGUCCUUUAAAUCCGCGUCGAGAGUGUAUCCAACCAGUAUUGAGUGUUGCUAGUGUGUGUGAUAGCGGGGAAGCUUAGGGUUUUUUGUUUGCAAAUUGUUGGUGACUUGGCGUUAUGUUACUUUGCUUUUGCUAGUGCGUGUGACUUUGCCUUUAUUUUGUUUUACAAUUUUUACAAGUUAUAUUUGUAUAUUUGAUUAUUUAAUUAUUUUUCAUUUUAUAUUAUUAUUGGGUAAAUGCUAAGAUAUGUUAUAGUGCUUAGUAACUAUGCAAUGUCACAUUUAUAAUUUUUUUUAAUUAAAUUUAUAAUAAUUUUUUAAUAUUAUAUAUAUAUAUAUAUAUAUAUAUAUAUAUUUUUUUUUUUUUUUUUUUUUUUGCGGAUUUACGGAUUUCUGCGGAUUUACAGAAGUAAAUCCAUAUCCAAUCCAUUGACUGCGGAUUUUUAAAUUUUCAAUCCAUAUCUAAUCCACCAAUCCACGGAUCGGAUUUAUACGAAUCAGAUUGAGCGGAUCGGACGAAUUGAGCGGAUCGGAUUGGAUUCUGAACUCCCCUAGUGUGAACUAACUUUUAUGUUUAUCUAAACACCUUAAAUUUAAGGCAAAUUAUGGCAUAAAUAAGAAUUAUAACAGAACACUUAUGAUGUAUAGCAAAAGAGUUGUGAUGAAGAUCUUGAAGAAAUAUAAUAUUAGCGCCGAGUUAAGUAACUAAGAACACCCCUGAACUGAAUAAUGGUCAUCAAAAUUGUGUUACUUGCACUUCUAUUUACUAAAAGUUUGGUUAUGUUCCAUUUGAGUUUUUAUCUUCAAAUUUCAAAAUCUUGCUAAGUUUUGACAAUCACAAAGGCUCAGUUUGCUUGUUCUAUAUUUGUAUGAUACGAAUCCAAAUUUUUGUGAUCUAUUUCCUCAAUUUUGAAUACAAAUUCUUUUCUUCUCCUGCGAACCAGAAAGAAAUGUUGUAUUAAAAAAAUGGAAAUAACUUCAUGACAACAAAAAUUAGGAAAAAUAAUAUAAACCAAAUUAGGAUAAAUAAUAUCAUUUUCUAGAGAAGCAGGCAAAAAUGGAAAAUGAUAUUUCAAUUCUUCAAGAUCCCAAAUCUCUGUUUCUAAAUUUUCUUUCAUUUUGCUUCUCGCAUAGAAUCAUUUGGUAUUAAUAAAAUUUUUACUUAUUAAACAAAAGUUAAAAAAAAAAAUUCUAUUCCUGCUGUUAAUCUAUGAAUGGUUUCAUUGUUGGAGUUUCUUUCAGAAGACAAGAAUACUUUGGUUAAGUGUUUGGCUAAGUACUAAAUUAGAGGUUGUUAGAGAGAAGAAAUUAAAAAAAAAAUCCUAACCCUUUAUUCAGUGUUUAAUCAGCAAAUAUUCAACUCAACAUGAAUCUUAAUCAUCUUUAAAAAAAUAUUUUAUUCAAUUUUCUAAUAAUAUUUAUGCAGGUACUAGAAGUUAAAACCCUACUUACAUGGAUGCGUGGCCAUCGGUCCAAUUUUUUUUUAAAAAAAAAAAAAGAGAAAAAAAAUGUAAUCCAUGAAUUUGGUUAAUUUUCCUUUGUUUGUUUCUUUCUGUUCUUCCCCCCCUCUCAAUAUCAUUCCUUUUUGGCAGCCUAAGGACAUUUUCACAAAUACCUUUUGUGCAGAAGUCUUUUAAACCAUCAAUCAGAAGAAACAUGCUUCCAGUGAUACCUCCAAUUAUCAUUGAUGAUGUUAAGUAAAUAAGGGCACCAGCUCAGCCAUGCCAUCAUCCCCACCCCGGGAUGGAUCACCUCAGCCGAAUGGUACGAGCAGAAUACUGAUAAUGAGCCUUCUACAAACAUGGGCCGACCAGAGACAUAUACCGAGCAGAUACCCAUUCCCCAAAAAGCGGGAACACAAUCUCACGAAAUCACGGCAGUUGCGCUUUUCCCAAAAUCAUUGAGGGAGACACGGUGUCCCACGUUUACCCACAAUGUAGCAGUUGGAGUCCCAUGAGGGGCUGCCACUACCCGAGAAAGGGGGGAUGAAGGGUGAACGGAAACGUGGGACAACAGCUAUAAAAGAGGAAGAAACCAAUGAAGAGGAGGAGAAAAAACAGAGAGAGAAGGGAAAACUCUGUCAAAUUAAAACUAGACUGUUGUUCUGCAGAAACUGAGAGUGAGUCGUAAGCCAUUCCGAAAUCUAAAUUAAACCAUUUUCCCGUAAACACCUUGUGCUAACUUAGGCAUCGGAGGGUUUACGCCGGUAAAACUACCGGCGUCUCUGAUUCAUUUUUGUGAAUGCAGGCUUAGCAAGAUAAAAAGGGGUGAUUCCAACCCAGUGACGUAAGCGAUCGUUAAGGCAAGGAGAAAGUGACAUCGUUCCCAUUAAGCAUAUAAGCGUUGGUGGAAGAAUCUGGUCGGGUAAAGGGUGAGCAGAUUUCAGCAUCAACAUUUUGGCGCCGUCUGUGGGGAGCUGGAUAAAAAGCUACCACCAAAUUAGUAGUCAUCGGAGAAGCAGCGAACAAUCGAUUAUGGAUAUAUCAAGGAAGGAUGCCCUAGGUGGCGACAAUGAAACUGGUGAAACAAUCACUCUCCGAGAGAUAGCAAAUGAAGCUAGAGAGAGGAUGAUGCAAGAUCGAAUGGAACGGAUGGAGAAACAAAUGGAAACUCUCACGACCAUAUUGCAUGAGCUGAGGGAUGAGCAGAGAAGGGACUAUGAAACCCCCGUAGGGAGGGAUGAAGUUGAGGCAGAACCCAGCCUCCGGAGGCGUAGAGUCAAGGAAAUCCCUCCACCAGUAGACCAACCCUAUGGGGUGCAUCCCCAUAGAAAUAUUGGUAGGGUUCCAGUAGAGCGCGUAGAUGAAGGGAGAGACCAACCUCGCUCCGGACGAGUACUGGAAAUUGAUGGCCGAUGAGCCAAUGUUGAUGAGGGAGAGCUUAGACAGCGGUUGCAAAAUGCCGAGCAGGAGCGAGAUCAGAUAGCUGCGCGCGAUCCGGACCGUGCUGUAGAAUUGGAGGGUGAGGUGCGCAGAUUGGCGCAGGUGAUGGAGGAGAUUCAGGGCAAGAGAAAGCCCCCGAGUUGGAGGAUAAUGAUAGAUGAAGAGUCUCCGUUAUCAGCCGAGAUCAUGGGUACUUUAAUCCCAAGAGAUUUCCGCUUCCCCGACCUCAAAUACUCCGGGCGAAGUGACCCACUGGUGGAUAUUGAACGCUUCAACGACAUGACGGGUGUGCAGGAACUAACACCAGCUCAGAGGUGCAGGGUGUUCCCAUUGACACUAGAGGGAUGAGCCCAACAAUGGUACCGCAAGCUGCCACGAGGAAGUAUAAAAGGAUACGAGCAGAUGUGCCAAGAGUUGGCCGAGCAGUUCCGAGGAGCAGUAGCCCCAGAGGACGAUACGAUGGAACUGAUAGGGAUGAAGCAGAAGGAACAUGAAUCCCUUCGGGAAUUUGUAAAAUGAUACCACCGGGCCGUGCUUGAUCUGGGAGCUUUCAAUCACCCAUAGGCGUUGAGGGGAUUAAAAGAGGGCGUGAGGAUAGGCCGACUAUGGUACAACUUGAGAAGCCCCCUAGUGCAGAAUUAUUCGGCGGGGUAUGAGCAGGAGAGGAGAGAUAUAGAAAUCGAAGAGGAGAAAUCGGCGAGGAUAAAAAGUGAACAGCUGGAAGAGCUGAGACGAAAGGAAAGGAGAACCCCGAACAGGAGCGGGUCGGGAAAGCGAGCUGGGGAAUCCUCGGUGACGGGCGCAAUAUCAGCUCGGUCUUGCCCUUACCCCAUGGUUCAGAGACCGCAACAGUUCCAACACAGCCGAGCUCCACCUUCGCGCCCCCCAUUCCCGGAGCGGCAACGAGAAUUCCGGCAGUUAGCUGCCCAUCUUUAUCACAACGCCCCCAGGGCACUACAUACAGCCAACUCUAGAGCUGGGCGACCAGGUCAGCUACCUAUAAUAUCAGCUUGGGACGAUAUCCAUGAUAGCCGAGCAGUCCAGCUAAUCGACCAGAGCCUGGCAUAUAGACAAUACACCCCAUUAAAAGUCCCUAUGGAGGAGUUGUACGAGAGGAUCGAGGGACGAGGCCUGCUGUACCCUCCAGCCCUUAUAACAAAACCUGCUCACCGACGUGAUAAGAGCAUAUUCUGUAAAUUCCACGACACUCAUGGUUACACUAUCAGCCAAUGUCGCGACCUAAAGAUUCAGGUGGAGGAUUUGGUGAGGAACCGGUACCUGGAUGAAUACGUAGAUGGAGUGUCCUCCGUCAUUGAAUCACAGUACAUGCGGGAUGAAGGAGUUGAGAGGAGCCUGGAACGUGAACAGCCAACUAUCCGUGUGAUAGCAGGAGGGCCAACAUUGGCUGGGGAUUCGAACCGGGCACGGAAGAACUAUGGGAGAUACGCCAUGACAUGCAAAAAAGUGCUUUUCAAUUUGCCAGCAGCCAAGAGGGCGAAAGUGAGGCAAAUUCCCAUUAUGUGGACAGAUGACGCCGAAGUGGGUAUCUUAUAUCCUCAUGAGGAUGCACUAAUGAUUAAGGCAAUGGUGGCUGGCACAGAAUUACGGUGAAUACUGGUGGACACGGGUAACUCGGUUGACAUACUGUUUAAGUCGGCCCUAAAUGAUAUGGGAAUUUCAGACUUAAAACUAGAGCGAACGAAUACAUCCUUGAAGGGAUUUGGAGGAGGACGGUUAACCCCCAUUGAUCGCGGGGUCGCUUGCCACAAGUUGGCAAUCAGGAAAGGGGUAAGGCCGGUGAUGCAGAAAAGGAGGUGCUUUAACCAGGAAAGGUACGAGGCCAUAAAUGCCGAGGUGGAAAAGCUGUUGAAAGCAGGAUUUAUAAGGGAGGCCAAGUACCCGGAGUGGAUUUCCAAUGUAGUACUGGUAAAGAAGGCCAACGGGAAAUGGAGAAUGCGUGUGGAUUUCACAGACCUUAAUAAGGCAUGCCCGAAGGACAGUUUUCCCCUACCAAAAAUAGAUCAAUUGGUGGACUCAACAGCGGGUCACAGUCUGCUCAGCUUCAUGGAUGCCUUUUCGGGAUACAACCAGAUACCCAUAGACGAGCAGGAUGAGGAAAGCACCACCUUUAUAACUAACAUGGGUUUGUUUUGCUACAGGGUAAUGCCUUUUGGCCUGAAAAAUGCCGGAGCUACCUAUUAAAGGUUGGUGAACAAGAUUUUCAAGCCAUUGAUCGGCCACACUAUGGAGGUAUAUGUGGACGAUAUGAUCACAAAGUCUAAAGAACCGAGGGAUCAUGUGAAGCACUUGGAAGAGACCUUUGAACUGCUGAGGAAGUAUGAAAUGAAGCUGAACCCGGAGAAAUGUGCAUUUGGGGUCAGCUCAGGCAAAUUUUUGGGAUUCCUGGUGAGCCACCGAGGGAUCGAGGCCAACCCGGAAAAGAUACGGGCGGUAACAGAAAUGAGGUCCCCACGAACAGUUAAGGAGGCGCAGAACCUUACAGGGAAAUUGGCAGCAUUGAACCGAUUCAUCUCACGGGCCACAGAUAAAUGCCACCCUUUCUUCCAAACCAUAAAGAAAGGGAGAAAGAUGGAGUGGACGUCAGAAUGUGAGGAGGCGUUCGGGCAGCUGAAGGAAUAUCUGGCCCGCGCCCCGUUACUAUCAACUCCAAGAGAAGGUGACCAGCUGUUUUUGUACUUAGCAAUCUCAAAAUGGGCUACCAGCUCGGUAUUAGUCAGAGAAGAAGAAGGAAAGCAACACCCCGUAUACUACACUAGCAAGGCCCUGGUAGACGCAGAAACCAGGUAUCCGCUGAUGGAGAAAUGGGCACUAGCUCUAAUAACAGCAGCACGCAAACUUCGACCAUAUUUUCAGGCCCACCCGAUAGUUGUGAUGACUGACCAGCCUCUUCGGCAAAUGCUCCAAAAACCAGAUGCAUCGGGUCGGUUAGUAAAGUGGUCCGUGGAGCUGAGCGAAUUCGACCUAUUCUAUAGGCUCCGAGGAGCAAUCAAAGCCCAAGCUCUGGCCGAUUUUAUGGUUGACCGUGUCGAGUCAGGGGAAGAAGUUCAGGAGGAGCAACUAGUGGAACAGGAGAAUCCGAAGGGGGUGUGGAUGGUAAUGGUUGAUGGGUCACGUAGUGAACAAGGAUCCGAAGCAGGAAUCGUAAUAUGAAGUCCAGAAGGGAUCGAGAUAUCCUAUGCAGUGAAGUUUGAAUUUCAGCUCACGAACAACCAAGCUGAAUACGAAGCCUUCAUCAUUGGGCUCGGGAUCGCACAUGCACUACGAGCAGAAAAUGUAGAAAUCCGAGCAGAUUCCCAAUUAGUCUGUAAUCAGCUCAGUGAUCAAUUCCAAGUAAGAGAAGAAAAGAUGGGGCUUUAUUUGAAGAAGGCAAAGCAAAUGGUCGGGCUCUUCCAAGAGGUAGAGAUAAAGCAGAUAUUCCGAAACGAGAAUUACCGAGCGGACAUGUUGGCCAGAAUGGCCGCAGUUGUGGAUCCAAAGUUAUCCAAGUCAGUUCCACCUGAUCCCUCUGCUCUUUGUCCCCCUGGUCGGACUCAGCCAUAUAUUUCUGCACUCCAGCCUCCAGCUUGCUCAUAUUAAGCACAAAUAUGAUGCACUUAUAGCAGAAAGUAACCCCAGAGUUAUACUCUGCAUCCAGCCGAUCAUCCACAUCAGCAAAUUUGCCUUUCACCUCGGCCAACUGCUCACUCAGAGAUUUGAUUUCUCCCUCAAGGGUCGUCUUCAAGGUAUCUCGCUCACUUUGGGUGGCCUGAAGAUCAGACUUCAGAUCACCUAACUCACCCUCGAGCUUGGUGGUGGUGGACUCAGCCAUGGCCACUUUCUCCUCCAGGUCCAUGAUUUGCUUGUGCAGAUCAAGCAACUUUUCCUUCGAGCAGUCAGCAGACUCAACAUUUUUCUUCAAGUCCUGGUUGUCAUCUUGAAGCUUCCUCUCAUGGCGCAUGGACCUAUUCUUGUAGCACGAAACCAGGGUGGCUAGCUUAAAGGAGACCAUUUAAACGGAACCAGCUAACUCGGCGAGGUUCAUACUCUCGAUGUCCUUCACCAUCUUGGGUCCCACCGAUUUACCGUAAUCCCUCUGGUACGGGCUCAGGUAAUCACCUUGAUCCCGAGAUGGAAGAGGAAAGGAUCGGUUCCCGGACUGAAUGCUGACCUCAUGACUCUUAUCACUCACCUUCUCCCCACCAUUUUUCCGAGGUGGAGGAGGGGGCAGAGCGGGAACAUAAGCCUUGGGUGAACCAGUAUGGGCCUUUUUCGGAGGAGGAGGAAGGUUGUUGGAGCUGCUUGUACCCCAACCACGCUUUUUGGUCAUGGCGCUGAGGAUCUUGUUAUCCAUUCCGGCAGCUACGUCCACUAAACGCAAACCGACCAGAUUUGUUGAUGACAAGAGAUCUUGGCAGGUAGACGCGUUCACCAAAGCAGUCUCCACAUGGAGCAAGGGUCUGUCUUCAAGCUCCUUGAUCAAACCCCACGACUCUGAAAGAGCAAACAAGGUUAAAGAACCCAAUAAGUGACGAUUGGAGAAAAGAAAAUAGGCAAUAAAUAAACGACCUGGGGUGACAAAGCGCGUUGGAAGGUGAAUAUCACCACCAAGCGAAUGGGCUGCUGGACACCAAUUUCCUCCAGCAAAUAAGAAUUUUUUCUUCCAAUUUUUACAUGAGGAAAUAAAUCUGGUGAUCGGCUUCCUCUUUGCAGAGCUUGACAUGAAGUAGUACUAGCCUGCUUCUUUUGGGCUACUCCGCAGCUGGUACAAAUGCUUUACCUCAACAAGGGAGGGUUCCUCUGAUCCGCACCUCUCCCAUAGCACAUACAUAGCUGAGAGAACUCUCCACCCAUUUGGGUGUAGCUGACCUGGAGCCAGGUGCAUACCACCCAAUAUCUUGGCAAAAUAACGCUGAAGGGGCAACCGAGCUCCUAAUUUGAAACUCUCCAGAUGCAUCGUCACAUACCCCCUCGGAGGUCGGCUAGGAACGUCAUCUUUCCCGGGGAUUACAAGGAGAACCUCUUCAGGUAUGUUAUAGAGGGUUCUAAGCUUGAGCAGGUCAGUUGGGGUGGUAGCACAAGCUAUAUAGUCGAUAGGGUAAGAAUCUGCCUCCACUCUAUGGCAAAGGUUUCUCUACUUAGGGGGUCUGCUCGGCUCAGAACUGCUCCCCUCACCAUCACCCACUUCUUCAAGGACCCCAGCCCCACCAGAACUAUGGUUCUCACCAGAGCCCGAUGCGGGUCCACCUCGGUUUCCUACAAGCUCUAAUUCAGGGGAAGGAGAAGUGACCAUAGGACGAGGGUAUUCAGGAGUAUCCCUGUAAUAGGAGGGACCUACAUUGCGAGAAGCGUAUAGAGGAUCACUGGGUCCAAACAGAUGGGGAUAGGAAUCCUCUAUCUCUUCAUCACUCUCAUCUACAAUUAUUUUUCCCUUCCGGUUUGACAUAUUGAAGUUUAAAAAGGGAAAGCACAAAAUAUCCAAAUGUAUGGGUACAAAAAAGGGACAAAUACAGAACCCACAAUACAAAACCCAAUCAACAACAACCAGAGAAGGGGUUAAAGGCUAUACCUGGAAUAGGCUGGCACGGAUAGCGCUGUCGUGACAAAGAAAGAACCCAGCAAGUGGAGGCUCCGGAUGCGGGAAGUGUGAGCAAAGUUCAAAGAAGGAGUUGGCUUACGGAGGAGAGACGAAUAAUAAAACGAUGAUGAUUCAGUCUAGGGAUUUGAAACGAAAAGGGGAAAAUGGAAGCGGGAUGCCAGCUCACUCACCAUAUAUCGAGGAUGGAUAGCCUGUCGUUUUAAAUUUCAAAUACGAAGAGUCGGGAAGCGCCACGUCACUAACCGUCAUAAGAGGCCUGACGAGACGUACGCCCAAGUAUAUACUAGAUAUAUUCAUGAAGGCCCAUACUCGGGCCAAAAUCUCCUUAGACAAGAAAUGGAACCUCCGAUCCACCACAAUAAUGCGAGGACCAGAUGGGUAGUUCCCAGGAUCGGUAAAAUCCGAUUAUCAGUUUCUACUCUCAACUCAUUUCACUCGCAAGACCAGAAACUAGGGGACUGGUGUUAAGUAAAUAAGGGCACCAGCUCAGCCAUGCCAUCAUCCCCACCCCGGGGUGGAUCACCUCAGCCGAAUGGUACGAGCAGAAUACUGAUAAUGAGCCUUCUACAAACAUGGGCCGACCAGAGACAUAUACCGAGCAGAUACCCAUUCCCCAAAAAACGGGAACACAAUCUCACGAAAUCACGACAGUUGCGCUUUUCCCAGAACCAUUGAGGGAGACACGGUGUCCCACGUUUACCCACAAUGUAGCAGUUGGAGUCCCAUGAGGGGCUGCCACUACCCGAGAAAGGGGGGAUGAAGGGUGAACGAAAACGUGGGACAACGGCUAUAAAAGAGGAAGAAACCAAUGAAGAGGAGGAGAAAAAACAGAGAGAGAAGGGAAAACUCUGCCAAAUUAAAACUAGACUGUUGUUCUGCAGAAACUGAGAGUGAGUCGUAAGCCAUUCCGAAAUCUAAAUUGAACCGUUUUCCUGUAAACACCUUGUGCUAACUUAGGCAUCGGAGGGUUUACGCCGGUAAAACUACCGGCGUCUCUGAUCCAUUUUUGUGAACGCAAGCUUAGCAAGAUAAAAAAGGGUGAUUCCAACCCAGUGACGUAAGCGAUCGUUAAGGCAAGGAGAAAGUGAUAUCGUUCCCAUUAAGCAUAUAAGCGUUGGUGGAAGAAUCUGGUCGGGUAAAGGGCGAGCAGAUUUCAGCAUCAACAGGGGAAAAAGUCUAAAUAGUAUUUUUGACCUCCUACUUUAACUAAAUAACAUUUCUUGAAAGUCACUGGCUCUUAAAAUUUAAUUAAGAAGAUAUUAUAGAUUUAUAAACCCUUAAAAUUUAUUUGCAAGUAACAAUUAGAGAAAAGUCGUCAUGCCCAUACGACUUACUAAAAGUCGUCAACUCGUCAUGACCAAAAUUCUUCCGAGUGUGAAAUACGGCAUUAUGCAGAUGCAUUAAAAACAAAAGCCAGCUAAGAUAUUCUUUGUAUACUUGCAUUCCCUAUCAUCUUAUUAAUAAUUUCAGACACGUCGUUCGUUCCCUGUGACUUUUCAUAUGAAAAAGCACAGUCAGUGUUACAAUUUACAUUUCGAAUUGGGUGUCAUCUAUAUACUCUAGCUAGAUCUAACAUGAUAUUGCAGUAUUGCACUGAUUUUUUUGUCGCAGAGUUUCUCUAUGAAUGCCUAAAAGUUAAAGACACGUCAUGGAAUAAUUAUUUUCUUAAAGACCAAAUUAACAUAAUUCUUGACUCAUUUAUAAAACAACAUUUAUCAUAUAACAGCUCAUAUAUGAAUCAAUUACCUUGAGCAGUAGCAAACAAACAAGAAUCUCAACCACAUCACGAGAUCGCCCACGUACUGUUAUCCAAAACAACAUUGUUAUAAUUAUCAUAAUCCCUUCUGACCUUAACAAUAAUUCUAUUCGUCCUUUCAUAGGUAUAAGUAUCCCAAAAUAUACCUGAUGUCAACCUUUACAAUUCUUUAGAGAAUUGCAGCAGACCAAAAGAAAGAUUUUAAUAAUUUGUAUGCAAAACUGAAAUCAUACAGUAAUUGAUACAGUGAGAAUAGACAUGCUGGGAAUUAGUAUAUAUGAAUAUCUUAAUAAUUUAAAAGUUUCUUAAACUGAUUUUACAUAUCUGAAAAAUUAUAGAAAUCGGAACAGCUGCAGAAAUCAUAAUUUUCCAGCGAAUGUGUUACAAAUUCGGAAAUUCAUAAGUAAUUAAAUUCUUGGGAUCACAUAAUAAUUCAAUAGAAAGCUUAAGAUGUCUAGUUUAUAAAAUGAGAUGUAUGGAAUUUUUUUUUUUCAAUGAUAUGUAUGGAAUUUAAGAGAUUCAGCAGUACUUUCAUUAUAUUAAUUCUUCAAAAAAUCAUGUUGCAAACAAUCACCAAUCUAACAUUCAACAAAAUUAAGUCGUAAAAAUCAUGUGGUUUAUUAAAAGAAUUACCUCAAACAGAUUAGCCUUCCCCUUUCAAAAGCAGCGUGAAACUCCAAAAACUCUUCUUCCAUAACCCAUUCAAACAUGAAGAAACAAAUUAGUAUCUCUUCUUUAAAUGCGCGAUGUGUGUGCCCUGUUUUCUCUCUUAUUCUUUUUCUUUUUUAGAUUUUGAAAAUGCAAAGAAUGCAGGAGUCCUUAUUUUCUUAAACAAGACUCAAUUAAAUUAAAUUAUGGCCUAAUGCUGUGUCAAUUCCAUCAUCAGUAUUUUUUUUUUCCUUGUAACAUAAUCCAUAUUUGGACAAUUUGAA
rnacentral:lncRNA from 1 species